GCGGACACAUUCCAGCCAAUCAGCAGCAGACCCUCCCUCCCAGACCCUUCCACCUCCUGGACAGCAUCCAUUUUACAUUCAUUGUUAAGCUGCAUUCUUAGUGAGCUGUCCAGGAGGUGGGAGGGUCUGGGAGGGGGGGUCUGCUGCUGAUUGGCUGGAAUGUGUCUG
rnacentral:miRNA from 1 species